GUGCCAGCAGCCGCGGUAAUACGUAGGUGGCGAGCGUUGUCCGGAUUUACUGGGCGUAAAGGGCGUGCAGGCGGUUCGUUAAGUUCGAGGUGAAAGCUCCCGGCUCAACUGGGAGAGGUCCUCGGAUACUGGCGGACUUGAGGGAGGCAGAGGAAAGUGGAAUUCCCGGUGUAGUGGUGAUAUGCGUAGAUAUCGGGAGGAACACCAGUGGCGAAGGCGGCUUUCUGGGCCUUACCUGACGCUGAGACGCGAAAGCGUGGGGAGCGAACCGGAUUAGAUACCCUCGUAGUCC
rnacentral:rRNA from 1 species